rnacentral:rRNA from 1 species
UCAAGUGACUAAGUGCAUGUGGCGGAUGCCUUGGCGAUCACAGGCGAAGAAAGACGCGGCAGCCUGCGAAAAGCUGCGGGGAGCUGGCAAACGAGCUUUGAUCCGCAGAUAUCUGAAUGGGGGAACCCACACCGCAAGGUGUAUCCGUGACUGAAUACAUAGGUUACGGAGGCGAACGAGGAGAACUGAAACAUCUAAGUAUCCUCAGGAAAAGAAAUCAACCGAGAUUCCGGCAGUAGCGGCGAGCGAACCCGGAGGAGCCUAGCUUUUGAUAGUACGAACUUUAGCCGAAAGGUCCUGGAAAGGCCUGCUAUAGUGGGUGAUAGCCCCGUAGGCGAAAGAGUUCGUAUGGUACUAAGGAAGCGAGAAGUAGAGCGGGACACGUGGAAUCCUGUUCGAAGAUGGGGGGACCAUCCUCCAAGGCUAAAUACUCGUGAUCGACCGAUAGUGAACCAGUACCGUGAGGGAAAGGCGAAAAGAACCCCGGGAGGGGAGUGAAAUAGAACCUGAAACCGCAUGCAUACAAACAGUAGGAGCCUCGUCAGAGGUGACUGCGUACCUUUUGCAUAAUGGGUCAGCGACUUACAUUCUGUGGCGAGCUUAACCGAAUAGGGGAGGCGCAGCGAAAGCGAGUUCGAAAUGAGCGUCCAGUCGCAGGGUGUAGACCCGAAACCAGAUGAGCUAUCCAUGGCCAGGUUGAAGGUGUGGUAACACACACUGGAGGACCGAACCGACUAGUGUUGCAAAAUUAGCGGAUGAGCUGUGGAUAGGGGUGAAAGGCCAAACAAAUCUGGAGAUAGCUGGUUCUCCCCGAAAACUAUUGAGGUAGUGCCUCGUGUGUCGCUCCAGGGGGUAGAGCACUGUUUUGGCUAGGGGGACAUGGAGUCUUACCAAACCAAGGCAAACUCCGAAUACCUGGAAGCGUAAGCACGGGAGACAGAGCACCGGGUGCUAACGUCCGGACUCAAAAGGGAAACAACCCAGACCGCCGGCUAAGGUCCCCAAUAACAGCUAAGUGGAAAACGAAGUGGAAAGGCCGUGACAACCAGGAAGUUGGCUUAGAAGCAGCCAUCCUUCAAAGAAAGCGUAAUAGCUCACUGGUCGAGUCCUUCUGCGCGGAAGAUGUAACGGGGCUAAGCUGUUAACCGAAGCCGCGGAUGCACUGAUUAUUCAGUGCGUGGUAGGGGAGCGUUCUGUAAGUCUGCGAAGGCGGUUCGAGAGGACUGCUGGAGAUAUCAGAAGUGCGAAUGCUGACAUGAGUAACGUUAAAGCAGGUGAAAAGCCUGCUCGCCGUAAGCCCAAGGAUUCCUGCUCUACGUUCAUCGGAGCAGGGUGAGUCGGCUCCUAAGGUCAGGCCGAAAGGCGUAGCCGAUGGGAAUCAGGUUAAUAUUCCUGAACCUGCGUCAGAUGCGAUGGGGGGACGGAGCAUGAAAGAUCAUCCGGGUGUUGGAUGUCCCGGUUGUUGAGCGUAGGAGGUCUGCAGGCAAAUCCGCAGACGCAUCUCCAAGGCAAAGACACGUGCCGCCACGGCGGCGAAGUGAUCGGAAGUGCUUCCAAGAAAAGCCUCUAAGCACCAGUCUGGCGCGGACCGUACCGCAAACCGACACUGGUGGGCGAGCUGAAUAUGCUCAGGCGCUUGAGAGAACUCGGGAGAAGGAACUCGGCAAAUUGACACCGUAACUUCGGAAGAAGGUGUGCCGUAGUACCGUGAGAGGAGAGACACCUUGAGCGGGAAUCGGUCUCAGAGAAUAGGUGGCUGCGACUGUUUAUUAAAAACACAGCACUCUGCAAAGUCGAAAGACGACGUAUAGGGUGUGAUGCCUGCCCGGUGCUGGAAGAUUAAUUGAUGGGGUGAGAGCCCUUGAUCGAAGUCCCAGUAAACGGCGGCCGUAACUAUAACGGUCCUAAGGUAGCGAAAUUCCUUGUC